UUCAGGCUUAAUGAUGAACCUGCCAUAAAGAACCCCUUGGAGCCUACUAUUGUUGGUCUGUAAAUCCAUUUCUGCUUGCUAGCAACAAGUUUGUUUAGUCAGCUUUCUGUUACUAUUUUAAAAUACCUGGCACAAUUAGCUUAUAAAGAGAAAAGGUUAUAUGUGGACUCAUUGCUUUUACAAUUGGGGAAGUGUGUCUGAUGGCAAUGGUAGAGAAAGAAAGCAUGGCAGAGGAAACUGCUGAUUUCAUGACCAGGAAGCAAAAGAAGAGGAAGGGGCCAGGCUCUCACAGUGCCCUCCAAGGUAGUCCUGCUGUGAUCUAAGGAUGCUCUGCUGAGUUCCACCCUAAGAUAACACCAUCUCUUGAUAGUACUACCUUGGAGCCAGAGCCUUUGGUGUGUGGACCUUUUGGGGACAUUCAACAUCCAAGCUCUAACAAGCUACCUCCUCAGACUUGCCAUUGUGACUGCCUUCUCACAGCCCCAGACAGUGUUGAGAAGUGGUUUAAAACCAGACUAUUCCAAAGAAUCUGUUAUUAAGAAGUGCACUCAGUUCAAGUUUGAACAAUUCAACUGGAAUAAUCAUAGACAGAAUAAUUAUCUUAAAGGAAGGCCUCAAGCGUUUAAAACAACAACACCAUGAGGAGAGACCUGGCCCAAGAACAGAUAUGAGGAAGAAGGAAGAUCCACCGCUAUUACAGAGAGCCUUUUGUUCACUGGAGUUGACUCAGACAGUUCCAGAAAGGGCCACUUUGCUGAUUAUGGCAGUCCCCAAAGGAAGCAGCCAGGACAUCUCCACAAGGAGGAAAAGAUGGCUUUUAUGAAGAACCAAAUGAAGGACUUUGCUAGUGAAGUCAACUAUAAAAAGGAUAUGUGCAUAAAAUGAAAUAGGUUUGAAGUGAUUUAUACAUAUUGUAUAUAUGCAUCACACAAUCAUGAGAAAAGAAAGUUGGAAGACUCACACUUCCUGAUAGCAAGUCUUACUCCAGAGUGACAGUAAUCAAGACAGUGUGGUACUGAUGUAAGAACGAGAAAUGGAUCAGUGGAAUGGGCAGAGACUCUAGAAGCCAACCUUCACAUUAGAACCAAUUUACUUUGACAAGGAUCCUGAGAAAAUUCAAUAAGGAAAGACAUUAUUUUUUUUCCACAAAUGAUUCUAGAACAACUGGAUAGUAACAUGCAAAGGAAUAAAGCCAGAUCCUGGUCACA
rnacentral:lncRNA from 1 species